rnacentral:rRNA from 1 species
GACGAACGCUGGCGGCGUGCCUAAUACAUGCAAGUAGAACGCUGAAGGAGGAGCUUGCUUCUCCGGAUGAGUUGCGAACGGGUGAGUAACGCGUAGGUAACCUGCCUGGUAGCGGGGGAUAACUAUUGGAAACGAUAGCUAAUACCGCAUAACAGUAGAUGUUGCAUGACAUUUGCUUAAAAGGUGCAAUUGCAUCACUACCAGAUGGACCUGCGUUGUAUUAGCUAGUUGGUGAGGUAACGGCUCACCAAGGCGACGAUACAUAGCCGACCUGAGAGGGUGAUCGGCCGAACUGGGACUGAGACACGGCCCAGACUCCUACGGGAGGCAGCAGUAGGGAAUCUUCGGCAAUGGACGGAAGUCUGACCGAGCAACGCCGCGUGAGUGAAGAAGGUUUUCGGAUCGUAAAGCUCUGUUGUAAGAGAAGAACGAGUGUGAGAGUGGAAAGUUCACACUGUGACGGUAUCUUACCAGAAAGGGACGGCUAACUACGUG